CCCCAAGCAGCCUCUUGCCAUCAUCUGACUGAAUAUUUUUCCACUCCGAGCUCUGGGUACUGUUGGAAUAUGAAAUAGAUUAUUCAUUACUCUCCUCUUUGCCACUGAUUUGGUUUCAUGUAGCGUCUUCCACAGAGAAAGAUGAAAACUUGUCAAAAAUAGGUUAUAUCUUAUUCGAAGGGGCAACAAUAGCAGCAGGUACAGGCACACUUUAAUAUUUAAUUAAGGUUGAUGUUAACCCCUUUAAAUGACUUUAGCUGUAAGUUGUAUUCAAAUGCAGAAGAGAAAAAUAAUUGUUCUUAAUUUGCAACCUGUUCAGCAGGCGUUCUUCAUGGAGUGAGCUGGAAAUUUAGGGCAGAAUUUUUAAAUAAUGAAAUUUCCCAUCGUAAAUAUUAAUAGCAGUUUGUCUACGUAGUGGAGAAUUAACUAGGAGUGAUGAUUUCCUCAUCCCUUUGGUUUGAACUGCUAGCCUAGUGAGGCACUCCAUGCUUGGGAGUGGAGGUGGCUUUCCUGGGAGAAACGUGUGUGUGGAGGGGAAGUUCAGAGCCAAGUUCUGUUGGUUGGUUGUGGUCAGCGCUGGUUUCAGAGGAACCACCGUGAGUCCCUGGUCUCCAAGCCACUUGCCUUCCCCUUUGGCUGGGUGUGUUGUUGCAGGGAUGUGGGCAGGCGGGAGAGCCAGUAGAGACAUCUUAAAGGAAGAUGUGUGUCUGGUUGGCUGGUUUGGGGAGGGUCUGAUUGGGGGUAUGUCUUGGGCAUCUCCGUGCCGUCAACUGGAGCUCAUUACAAACAGCGCUUCCCUAAUAUGCAACAGGGAGACACUUUGCUGAGAUGGGCCUUCUGUCCUUUUUCCUUUCUGUGACUUGCUAUUGGUGAAUGGCUCUUCUUUUCCAUGGACCAUGAGCUUGAAGGGCCAGGGAGGACAAAGCCCCAUCGUCCUCAUCCUAAAUCGGAAGUCAGUGGCCUUCUCCAUGCUAUGGCUGCUGUCUAUGUCUGCUCAGCCUGUUUGUUUGAUGAGUUUAUAUAACCAUGGAAGCCACCCUCAGAGGCCCGGUUCAUUGACACUUCAGGGCAGGGGUGUUGGGUCAAUAUCAGGGAAUGGGAAGUUCCUUUCUCCCAUCCCCAGAGGGACCAGGCCCCUUAUGUAGCUCCACCAUGGGUGUGAGGGGAAGAGAUGGUGCACGUUCCUUGCUCAGUGUAGCAUCUCUCAGCAUCACCCAUCCAAGGACAGAUGGUCCUGCAGGAGCCACGGCGUGGGAGGUACCUGCCUGGCAGGCACGAGCCAGGUGGGACCUGGCCUCAAGCCUCUUUGGUUACUAUGGGCGUAGGAACAGCAGACAUGCCAGGCUUUGGAGGAUCUCAAGCCUCCAUUUCAAUCCAGGAUAAAUUAGCCACAUGACAAUCUGUCCCCCUUGGGAUGGCCUUCACACCUCAACAGAAAAGGUACCAAGAGCCAUUUUUCCAAAAGGAAGAAAGGAAGGAAGAAAGGAAGGAAGGCUGGCUCUGUGAAGAGCCAUCCUCAGUCCAACUCCCAGUGACCCUGGUUGAGGGUCUGCCUGAGACUAGCUCAAACUCAACCUCACCCUAUGCAGUAACUCUCUAACUCUAAACUAGCCCCCAAGAGAUAUUCUGGUGGCUUCACUUUGCCUGUGACCCAUCAGACUCAGACCAGUGGCACCUGCCAGAGGCUGGCCACAUAAUGUCAGCAGUCAGGUGGCUCUCAGCCCAGAUGCCAGUCUUUGUUAAACAGGGCAGGUGACUGCGUGGACAGCUCAGAAAAGCUCCUGAAGCCACAAAUAUUGCACCCAAGAUGGAUGAGAGCAGCCAGGCCCAGGCAGCAAGAGUCUGUCACUGGAGCCAGGACUUCCUGAAAUGAGUGACUGAGCCAGGGUUAGUGUCCUGUUGUGGAGGAGGGCAGAUGCGGGGAGUGCAGAGUGAGUUCCCAUCUCUAUUGGGAUUCCAGCGCAGUAACAAGGAGCCAGCUUACCAGAGGCGAGCAGGGCAAAAGCAAGAUGGCAGGAUGGGGCACGAUAUGUUGGGGGUUGGGUAGCAGAGGGUGGACAGGUGAGGGAUGGAGGGUUUUUCUAGCACCAGGGGAUAGCAAGGGCAAGUAGGCCCCCUUGAGCUCAUCACUGCCCUUCUUCAGGAGGAGCUAAAGAGGGGGAAAGACAGGGUGCAUCUCUCCAGGGCCCCCUGCCCCAGUCAAACACCCCUGUGGCCAUAGCUCCUGGGCUCCCAGUGUGCCAUGGGGAAAGCACUUCCUCAUCCGGAAUCGCUCGUUACUCGUGCUACAUGAAGAACUCAGACAUCACAGAGGGGGCAGUCGCCAGGAAGCAGAGCUCUGGACUGUGAUUCCAUGAACUCGCGCACCCCCUCCUUCCCUUCAUCCAAACAAGGCCCUUUGGCGUGAAUAAUAGCUCAGCGGCUCCGAAGCCGUAUUGAUCGGCUGCAAACCCGGCUCCGCCGAGAGCUGCCAGGGCUUUUCCUGGGGGCAGGACCAGCACCGCUCAGCACAGCCUCCUCUCCCCCUCCCACUUCCCCGGCCUCCCCCAGGUGUGUUCAGGAGGGGACAAUACCUGGGGGAGCCCAGGCCCUCUCCAGCUCAGUGCCACUUCGUUACCGCAACUUUGCUGUUUUUCACUUAUUUUGCCAGGGUAAGCACCUAAGUUAGAGAGAAAUGUUUUUUCGUGACGAGGCCCCACAGAGUUGAGAAUGAACACAUCCUCCCGCUCCAGUUUCUCCCCAGAAUGUUCUGCCAAGGACCCAGGCCAUAGAGGCAUCCUGGGCUGACACCUGUGGGGGCCCUAUUAUACCCCCAGCGCUGACAAGCACUUCGGCAUCCUGUACCACAUUUUCGCGUUACUCUCCCCUGUCUCAUCCCAUCAGAAAAGAGGAGCCAAGAACAUGGCUAGGACUCACCACCUCCUUGAGGGAUGGGGACUGUUGCAAAAUUCAACAGACGUGCAUCAGCCGCAGGCUGGGAGACCAGCAGAGACCAAAGCCUGCCAGCCCCACUCCCUGAGCCUCUGACCAGACUGUCCCUCCCCGUGUUUGCACCUCUUCUGGACACAGGAAGUGGUCAAGGCCUUGACCCUUUGAGGGAUGCCAGGCCCCUGCGCAGUGACACCCUCGCGGUGGUGGAUGCCUGAAACCCCACCCCUAGAGAGGCCGUCCUGUGGUUUCUGCCCUGGAACACUGGAAAAAUGCAGAUUCAUUUUUCCCUAGACAGCUUCAGUCCUACCAGCCACAGAUCCCUCUAAGUGAGUUGUCUGACCCUUUCCUGGGGGCAGAUUUUGGGUUUGGGGGAAGACAGACCCACUACAUGAGGGAGCCUGAGUGGUCUUUGGGAGAAAGGUUAGAAGGAAAGAGGGGCUUGGUUCCCUAGGACCAGCUCCCUGGAGGUUGCCCCGUAUCAGCUGCCUUCAGCCUUGCCUUAAAACCCACUCCCUGGCCAGGACCCCGUUCUUCUAAGGAUUGCGUUCUGGCUUAGGGCUGCAUGCAGGCAAACAUGGGAGCCUGAGAAUGGGCUCUGCAAAGGAGCAGUAAUGGGUUGAGGGUCUCCUGACAGGUCCCACAGCCAUGCCCUGGCUGAGAAGGAUCGAGAAAGAGCAGGGAGGCUGGGUUGGAGUUUGGACAGCUAACCCUGGGGGCAGGAAAAUUGUGUCCCUCCUCUGGCCCUCCUGAGGCUGAAGGAAGUCCAAAUCCGCUGUGGUGUACAAUUUGGCAUUUGGGGAAGGACCCAAAAGGGAUUCUUUUCUGCCCUGAGCAGACCUUCCCCACACUGCCACAUCCAGGGGUCUUGGCACAGAGGGGACACUGUGGCCGUCAGAGACUCUCCGCUCAAUUUCCAUCUUCUCUCAUUCAUCCACACCCACCCUUCCAGAGCUCUACACUGCAUUUCUAAAGAAAGGGAGAAACUCGAGUGAGAACUAGAGGGCUUCACUGAGCUCAUUAUUAUCCCCGACAAGACUUCUAAAUAAUCUAGCCUUUCCCUGUUUGAAGCAUGAGAGGUGUAAGCAGAUUUAUUCAUUCAUUCAUUCAAUCAAUAUUUAUUGAGCAUCUACUAUGUUCCAGGCCCCGAAGACACAUGGUGAAGAAGAUAGAUAAGAAAAGAAAGAAGGUAGUCUCACAGCACUGGAAGUCAGAAAACUAUUUUCCUUUCCAGAAUCCUGACUCACUCCAAUCCCGGGCAAGGUCAUUCUCAGGGUCUCAAAAUCACAUUGCGAUGCCUGUGCCUCUGCCACCUUCUACACUGCCCCCUGAGAUGAAUGCACCAUCACUGUGAAUUACUAGGCAAAAUCUUCUCCAAGUGGACAAUGCUGUAUGUUCAUUCCUCCUUGCAAUCCCCAUGACUGCAUUAGCAAAGGAGCCCCGCUGAGGCUGAGUAGGGCUGACACUUGCCUGCAGGUGGGCAGGUCCCCAUCAGCACUGGCCCUACUUCCAGGACUGGCCUAGGAGAGGCCAGGGAUAGGAAUGGGGACUGUUUAGAUCGGGGCCGACUUGGAGGAUUUUUUCCUCCUGCUUAUUAAAUGUUAAAGGUUUGACUUGGCAGGCAAUCAGGAGCCCAAAAUAUCAUAAAAGGGAAAAAAGUUGCCGAGUGGCUAAGAGGUGCACCACGGGAGUGUCACUGGGCCCGCCGGCGAGGUGAAUUGCUAAGCAGAGAGCAGUGAACGGGGAGGAAAUGGAGCAGCAGACAUUUUCAAAGGCUUCUCUCCCCUUCUUCUCCUCUCUCUGUCCCCCAUGCGGAAAGGGGAAAAUAGAAGUAGAAUCCAGAUUGGGGCGCGUGGCUGAUUUGGUCCUCCUCCCGCACCAUCCUCCCCCAGACAGCAGAGAAACUUUGAUGUCUGGGUGCAUGGCAUUCAGGGACAGAGGAGCCUGGGCAUCCCAGCAAAUGCAGCCGCAUGUUCCGCCUCUGGACGGCCUCUCUGAACUCCUUUGUGAGGGGAGAUGAAGCCCACAGAGCUGGAAAGAGCAGCGUUUUGAAAUGAGGAAGUGUGGAUCGGCAUUCCUUGAGCUCAGUGCUAGCCACCUUGGCGAUGGGGUGAGCCAACCAGGAGCUCAGAUUUAUAAAACUUUUGAGCUUUGUGGGCCCUAGGGGGCCACUGUGGCCUACCUGCUGAUUUUCAGAUGGGGAAAUGGGGGCUCAGAGAGGGGACAAGAUUUGCUUAAUGGCACCUAGCAAAUUGGUAACAGGUCCAGGAGUAGAUUCCAUGCCUUCAGCCUCUGGUGAGACGUCUUUCCUCUGCACCAGGAAGUGGAACUUCAAACAGCACCAGGGGUUGGAACUUUUGUUUCAAAUCCUCUCUGCCUCAUCCCCACCCACUGCCCAGCAACUCAAGGCUGGGUCUUUCGCCCCCUCAGGCUCAGAAGGGCUGUGGCCCAGCCACAGAGCCAGGGGGCCUCCUCAGUAGUAUUGGCCUUCACACUCUUGGUGCUAAAGUUCUCCAGUUACUUUUUUAUUAAACCAACAUGUACAGAAAAACUCAGUUUUCGGCUGGGCACAGUGGCUCACACCUGUAAUCCCAGCACUUUGGGAGGCCGAGGCAGGCAGAUCACUUGAGGUCAGGAGUUCGAGACCAGCCUGGCCAACAUGGUGAAACCCUGUCUCUACAAAAAUACAAAAAUUAGCUGGGCGUGGAGGCGCGUGCCUGUAGUCCCUGCUAGUCAAGAGGGUGAGGCAGGAGAAUCGCUUGAACCUGGGAAGCCGAAGUAGCAGUGAGCCGAGAUCGCGCCACUGCACUCCAGCCUGGGUGAUAGAGCUGGAGGGAAACCCUGAUACCACUUCUGGGUCCAGAUGGCUGUGGCUGGAAUGCGGCCACAGCCAGGAACAGCGUGGUACGGAUACCAGUGGGGCUCUGGUCUUUUCCCAGAGGCUGGCACCUUUCAUGCCGAGUUGGGCCUCGGGUCUCGGGGCUCUAGGCCCUGCUGUGCCAGUGGCCUGAUGUGUGGCCUUAUAUGCCAGUCACACCCUGCUCCAGACCUCGGUUUCCUCAUCCACAAAAUGGGAAAGCUGGGCUAGAAAAUCUCUCAGGAAGGUAGGUCUCUGCUAGCUCCCAGCCUUCCAUGGCAGUGCAAAGGGAACCUUCCCAACAAAGUAAGAGCCAAAGGCUAAGAUGGCAGUCUGUGGUUUGUAGAACCUUCUAGAAGACCACGAGACUUGGUAAGCUGAGCUUCUAAGUGGUCCAGGAUGCAGGGCUGGUGUCACAGGUGUGUGACCAGUAGAGCUACACAGGGCUUUGUGCCCAGAAGGGCCCCACGCUUGGGAAAUAAGGCUCUGCAGUCACUGUCUUCAAAUUCUUAAUAAUUUUAUCUUUGUCACUGUGUUUUGUAAGUGAAGUCCAAUGGGACAGUGGAAUGUGAACUGGGAGCAUGGAGCCUCCCAUCUCCCUGCGUCCAGGAUCUGCUUCUCAGCUGCUUGCUCCUCUGCCCCCACAGCUCCAGCUCCAGCUCCACUCACCUUCUACCUCCCUGCCUCCCACCCAGCAACCACUGCCAACCUGCCCCCAACCUGGGCACAGGCACACCCUGUGGGGGAGGGGGACAAGCACACCCCACAGCAUCUCAGAGUGGGGCAUGGUGGCAGCAGUCCCCAUCCUGCACUGGCAGCCCAGGGCACAUUUCAUGUGGGACUCUGCGGGGGUGAGCCUCUAGCCCCCCCCAGAUCCAGUACCUCGUGUGUCCUGGUACAAAAUUUGUAGUGCCCCGGGGGCUGCCCAUCUGCUAUGGGUUGGGGCAGGGGCCUGUGGGAGGAUGCCUGGCUCAACCUCCUGCCCUAGGCCUGGAGCACAACAUGUGGGCCCAGCAGCUCACAGGAAAGGGAGCCAGAAGAUGGGUUCAAGUGUUUGUGUGUUCCCCAAGUCACCAGGGUGCCUGUGGGGGUCUGCACUCCCCCAGGAGAACCCUCAUGUCUAGGGAGCACUCCAUGGGGUCAUCUCCAUGCCUGAGAGGACCCUCUCUUCCUUCUUUCAACCUUCCGGAGCCCAGCUUGUCUCUUCCGGCCAGGUCAAGGUAUCCUCCUGAGAGAACCGUGAAAUACAGUGUGCCGCUUUGAUAAUUCCACAUGCAUGUUCAAUAUUCGGAUAUUUCCAGUUAAAACUGGCAUUGCACAAUAUAAAAAGGAAUGGUAAAAGUCAUGCUAAUAAUUUAAAAUUUUGACUUUACUUAGAAUGGUAUUAACUAGCAAAUUUAAAACACCAUGACAAAUUGAAAGUGAGACUGGGGAAGAAAGCAAAAAGCAUGUUUUCUGACUGUUUGAACAAGGGGCCCCACAUUUUCGUUUUGUAGUGGGUCCUGAAAAUUAUGUAGCCAGUCCUGCCUGGUGAGCCACCUACCCUCUUGGGCAUUUAGUUGUCUAUCAGUAAACUAGAUCAUUAACACUGCGCCUGCCCCUCCUGCUCACGGGCACGUUAGGAACAUGCGCUUGGAUAAAAUCCAAGCCAGAGAUUUAGAAACCAGUGUGUGGUGCCAGCUCUCAGCCUUGGAACCACAAGCCCAUUUUUCUUAAAAAGGGAUCUGGACUGGCAUCCAAAGAGAUUUCAGUCCCCUCAUAUAGGUUUAACCACCAUGGGCAAGGCAGUCUCUCUCCCAGGUAUUCCUCUCACUAGGUGCUCUGCUCUAGAAAUGAAGUCUAAAAGCAGCCCCAUCAAUACAGAACAGAGUUAGAACCACCCGGAGAGAUUUAAUCUGGAAUCCCAGCAAGUUGUGAAAUGGAAAGACUAGUCGGCCAGAGAGCUGAGGUCUCACAGUGUGCAAAGACCAGUCCUCAGUAUCUGCACCCAUCCAUUUGAGUUUCAGGUGAAGCCUAGGAUUUGGGAGCUCAAUACAAAGAUGCCAGCAUGAAGGAGGGUGGGUGCCAACUAGGUUUGGAUUUAGAGACAUCCUCCUUUUGGGAAAGGAAAAUAUCCUGAUUCCACUUAGGUUUCCAGGAAGAAGGCAUCCCCAUUUCAGAACAGUUUUCUAAGCCACCCUCAUGGAGGUUUCACCUGCAGCUUUCAGUCUGCUUUGUCUGAUGUUUGAGGAUGCAACUGCCCAAAAAUGGGUCUAAAGUAGCAUCCCGUCACGUUCUGUAAAAAGUAAUACUGCUUUAAGGUAACACUUAUGGAAUGAAUGAAUGCAUGAAUGAAUGAGUCAGUUUGGAUGAAGUUGCCUCAAAUAGAGUCUAAAUAUAAGAUUUCAUACUCGAUAGUGUCAUUUCAGGAUCAGGAAAAAUUAGGUGACUCCCAUUUGGUUUCUACAGCUUUUCCCCAAUAUCAUGUUAAAGUUUUGGCUUUUAUCUUAUUUCACUUAUUUCAUUUUGAGUCAUGUCUUCUGGCUCCAGCUCAGCUUCCUAGAGAUAAUUCAUUAGGCCCGAGAGCUGCUCCAGAGUGGGAUUAGAACCCGUGUAGUACAUAGUCACAUUAAACUGAGAUCGGCUAAUUAAUCGCUCUUCUCCGUGUAACUGAGCGAUCGCGCUCCUUCCCCGAGGAAUUGCAAUUUCAUGGUUCCUAAUGAUGGUGCGAUUACAUUAUGUGGAUCACUUAGGCUGUGGGUGUCAGGAGCGGUACUUGGAGCCUCUCUCGGUGGGGAUGGGAGAAGUCACUUCUAAAACCGGGGAGAUGGAGGAAAGCAGUUAGAAUGUCUGUUACUAAUUUUUGUUAACGUGCUGCUGUUUCCUACAUCUCAUUCAGGCAUUAGUUUCAAGUUCCAUUUUCCCCCAGCACCGUGUGGCACCUUCCCCAGAACCCUCACAUUUUUUUUCUAAUAUUCACAGGGUUAUUGUUUGUAAAAAAUCUAUUUAUUUGCUUUAUUCCAUUUUCC
rnacentral:lncRNA from 1 species